GCACGAGAAAGGGGCAACCUGAGUCAAGUGGCGUACGGGUGAGUAACACGUGGAUCAUCUACCUUUUAGGGGGGUAUACCCCCGGGAAACUGGGGACAAUACCGCAUAAGCUCGUAAGAGGAAAUCAGUGAGGCGGGUGGAGAGGGGCUCGCGGCUGAUUAGCUCGUUGGCGGGGUAACGGCCCACCAAGGCGAAGAUCGGUAUCCGGCCUGAGAGGGCGCACGGACACACUGGAAGUGAGACACGGUCCAGACUCCUACGGGAGGCAGCAGUGGGGAAUUUUGCGCAAUGGGGGAAACCCUGACGCAGCAACGCCGCGUGGAGGAUGAAGCCCUUUGGGGCGUAAACUCCUUUCGACCAAGACGAUAAUGACGGUACUGGUGGAAGAAGCACCGGCUAACUCUGUG
rnacentral:rRNA from 1 species